AAAAAAGGUAAGCUACUAAGAGCGAAUGGUGGAUGCCUUGACUGGUAAAGGCGAUGAAGGACGUACUAGACUGCGAUAAGCUACGGGGAGCUGUCAAGAAGCUUUGAUCCGUAGAUUUCCGAAUGGGGCAACCCAAUGUAUAGAGAUAUACAUUACCUAUAUAGGAGCGAACGAGGGGAAUUGAAACAUCUUAGUACCCUCAGGAAAAGAAAUCAAUAGAGAUUGCGUCAGUAGCGGCGAGCGAAAGCGCAAGAGGGCAAACCCAGUGCUUGCACUGGGGGUUGUAGGACUGCAAUGUGCAAGAGGUAAGUUUAGCAGAACAUUCUGGAAAGUAUAACCAUAGAGGGUGAUAGUCCCGUAUGCGAAAAACAAACCUUAGCUAGCAGUAUCCUGAGUAGGGCGGGACACGAGGAAUCCUGUCUGAAUCCGGGUCGACCACGAUCCAACCCUAAAUACUAAUACCAGAUCGAUAGUGCACAAGUACCGUGAGGGAAAGGUGAAAAGAACUGAGGUGAUCAGAGUGAAAUAGAACCUGAAACCAUUUGCUUACAAUCAUUCAGAGCCCUAUGUAGCAAUACAGGGUGAUGGACUGCCUUUUGCAUAAUGAGCCUGCGAGUUGUGGUGUCUGGCAAGGUUAAGCAAACGCGAAGCCGUAGCGAAAGCGAGUCUGAAUAGGGCGCUUAGUCAGAUGCUGCAGACCCGAAACGAAGUGAUCUAUCCAUGAGCAAGUUGAAGCUAGUGUAAGAACUAGUGGAGGACUGAACCCAUAGGCGUUGAAAAGCCCCGGGAUGACUUGUGGAUAGGGGUGAAAGGCCAAUCAAACUUCGUGAUAGCUGGUUCUCUCCGAAAUAUAUUUAGGUAUAGCGUUGUGUCGUAAUAUAAGGGGGUAGAGCACUGAAUGGGCUAGGGCAUACACCAAUGUACCAAACCCUAUCAAACUCCGAAUACCUUAUAUGUAAUCACAGCAGUCAGGCGGCGAGUGAUAAAAUCCGUCGUCAAGAGGGAAACAACCCAGACUACCAGCUAAGGUCCCUAAAUCUUACUUAAGUGGAAAACGAUGUGAAGUUACUUAAACAACCAGGAGGUUGGCUUAGAAGCAGCCAUCCUUUAAAGAAAGCGUAAUAGCUCACUGGUCUAGUGAUUUUGCGCGGAAAAUAUAACGGGGCUAAAGUAAGUACCGAAGCUGUAGACUUGCACACAACUUAGAUUAUUUAAGUUUAGAAUAUGAGAAACUAAGUUAUAUGUUUAGUUAUAUUUUUACUGAUUUUUAUAGAGUAAAGAUAGAAAUAAAACUUAGUAAAAUCAGUAAAAAUAUUCUUAGACUAAAGUUAAGUAGUUUAAGUUGUGUGCAAGUGGUAGGAGAGCGUUCUAUUUGCGUCGAAGGUAUACCGGUAAGGAGUGCUGG
rnacentral:rRNA from 1 species